AUACGGAGGGUGCGAGCGUUAAUCGGAAUUACUGGGCGUAAAGCGUGCGUAGGCGGUUUGCUAAGUCAGAUGUGAAAGCCCCGGGCUUAACCUGGGAACUGCAUUUGAUACUGGCAGACUAGAGUAUGAUAGAGGGGGGUAGAAUUCCUGGUGUAGCGGUGAAAGGCGUAGAUAUCAGGAGGAAUACCAGUGGCGAAGGCGGCCCCCUGGAUCAAUACUGACGCUGAGGUACGAAAGCGUGGGGAGCGAACAGGAUUAGAAACCCUAGUAGUCC
rnacentral:rRNA from 1 species